CAGCAGCCGCGGGAAUACGAAGGGUGCAAGCGUGACUCGGAAUUACUGGGCGUAAAGCGUGCGUAGGUGGUGGUUUAAGUCCGUUGUGAAAGCCCUGGGCUCAACCUGGGAAUUGCAGUGGAUACUGGGUCACUAGAGUGUGGUAGAGGAUAGUGGAAUUUCCGGUGUAGCAGUGAAAUGCGUAGAGAUCGGAAGGAACAUCUGUGGCGAAGGCGACUAUCUGGGCCAACACUGACACUGAGGCACGAAAGCGUGGGGAGCAAACAGGAUUAGAUACCCGUGUAGUCCCUGUCUCUUAUAC
rnacentral:rRNA from 1 species